rnacentral:rRNA from 1 species
UCCUACGGGGGGCAGCAGUGGGGGAUAUUGCACAAUGGGGGGAACCCUGAUGCAGCGACGCCGCGUGGGUGAAGAAGCGCCUCGGCGCGUAAAGCCCUGUCAGCAGGGAAGAAAAUGACGGUACCUGAAGAAGAAGCCCCGGCUAACUACGUGCCAGCAGCCGCGGUAAUACGUAGGGGGCAAGCGUUAUCCGGAUUUACUGGGUGUAAAGGGGGCGCAGACGGCGAUGCAAGCCAGGAGUGAAAGCCCGCGGCCCAACCCCGGGACUGCUCUUGGAACUGUGUGGCUGGAGUGCAGGAGGGGCA